UACGAAGGGUGCAAGCGUUACUCGGAAUUACUGGGCGUAAAGCGCGCGUAGGUGGUUUGUUAAGUUGGAUGUGAAAUCCCCGGGCUCAACCUGGGAACUGCAUCCAAAACUGGCAAGCUAGAGUAUGGUAGAGGGUGGUGGAAUUUCCUGUGUAGCGGUGAAAUGCGUAGAUAUAGGAAGGAACACCAGUGGCGAAGGCGACCACCUGGACUGAUACUGAUACUGAGGUGCGAAAGCGUGGGGAGCAAACAGG
rnacentral:rRNA from 1 species